GACAACAUAAACAUUCAUCAGCUCAACAACAUCGACCUAUAUAAACACAAAAUUCCCAAAGGUCCUUUGCCGCCCAGAGUUCCCUCUCUUUAUACAUCUACAUAUGAUAAGCACAAUUUCUGCACUUCGAUCGUUCUAACAUCUGCGACAUUGCAGUAUCCAUGAUAUUUCCUUUUCUAAAAAUUGUCACAAUUUUGCAAAUUCGUUUAGAGAUUGUGCGAAAUCCAACGUGGAACAUUAUCCUCAAAACUGAUUUUGAAUUAUAAAAUUCAAAAACCCCAAUUAUCCCCAAUAUUGAUUUUUACCCUAAUCAUACGAAUUCGGAUGAUUCGAUACAGCAAAAGCUCAUCCAACAAGAUUCCAGAACUCCUAAAUCCCACAUUUAAAUUUCAUUCUCAAAGACCUAAAAUCAUUCCUAUAUAAACCCUUUUACUCCAUCGUUUGACGAGAAGGUUAAAGACAGUCAACAGUAGAGAACUCCAACUGAGAAAGGGAUUUCGCUAAGACUGAAGAUUCUAGUGUCAAGAAAUGUGAUAAGACUCACUUGAUCUCAAAUUUAUAGGCUAAGGAUUGAGCUUGUUUUUGGUGGUGGUACGAAAAAAAUUAGAAGAAGCUGGAAGGCCUGAUAUUGUUGCUCUGAAAUAGGUGAUACCCCUAUUCCUCUUGUGUUCUAUCUCAAUUUAUCUUCUUGCAUCAUGAUGCUUCUUGUUGUAGCUUUCUUUUUAGUACUAUCUAUGUUCUGAUUGUGAUUUUUCAUUCAUCCGCAGUAGUAGCGCCAAAUUUCACACAUGAGCAUGGGAAUGGACUUAAUACUGUUGGCUCUUUUCGUUUAAAUUAUUUCAGCCUGUGUACUAUUUCAAGGGGUUUAAUUCUAAAGUUUCUUCCUUUGCUAUUUGUGAUUCGUUCAUGUCUUUGCGUUAGUUAGGUUAGUUUGAGCAUUAACAUGAGUUUCAAUCAUGUUUGUCUAAGCUUUACUACUAUUUCUUUUUUCCUCUUAUUAGAAAUAUGUAAGAAUUACCUUUCUGUUGAACGCGUUUGUUUAUAUAACUUUGUUCGUUCUUGUCAUUUUUAGCGAAUGGUAUCGCAAAACUCGUCCUACCACUUGGGCAAUUGCUCACUAUUGUUUUGAUUUACGAGUUAAGACAACUUAAAGUUGUUCGAUUUGAAUGGUUAGAGUUUGUCUCUCUUUGAGCUUGUAUUGCUAAUGCGUCGAUUCAAUAGGUCGAAAAUUUGUUUUUAAGGCUAUCUGUUAAAGAGCAGUGACCCCUUUUUUUUAUUCUUUUUCACAUAUUGAAGGCCAUCUCCUUGUAUGAUCUUUGCUUAUGACUCUUUAUUUUGUUUCAAUCAUUUUCCUUUGUCAACAAAUAAAUCUUUAAUUUUUAGGCGAUUGAAUUCAUCCCUAUCUCUCAGUCUUUCCCCUUUUCUUUUUCCCUUAGAAGCCUCCACUGAAUCAUGAAACACUAUGACCAAGUGUAAGUGAAUCCAUGAAAGAGCCUAGAAUUCUCAUCUUUAAGCUUUUUUGAAAAUCUGAAAAUCACUACGCUAUGAGUGUGAGUUCAAUAAGGCCUUUAAGUUAUUUGUUCGUCCUCUCUUUUUAGUUAUUCUUCUUCGAUGGACUUUGUGUGGUAUUAACUACGAAAUUUGCUUAAUGAUUUCUGAUUUUAACUGUAUUCGUUGGUUCGAGUUAUAAAUGGUUACAUUGUAUUAUUCUUAUAAUAGAUUAAAGGUCCUUGAGGGACCGAUUUGAUUUGUACAUAUUGUAACUUUUCAAGAGAUGAUGAAAUAAGUAAGUUUUAAAUUAUUAUAUGGCAAUUCUUCUUGGAUAUGUUUUUGAUUGAAAGAAGUUGGAUUUAGCUUUUUGAUCAAUCAUUGAUUAUUUUUAUGGAAUGAAAGUUACUUAUUUUGCUCUUUAUGUAUUAAUUAGGUUCUAAUCUUUAUAUCUUUUUCUUUGCAUGUGAAACUUUUCCGCAUUCAAAUGGACUUUCUUCACCUCGCAUUUCUCCAAUGGGUCAACAAG
rnacentral:lncRNA from 1 species